CCAAUUUUGUUUUGUUUACAUAUUUUGAUAGUGCGCCGUCAGAAAGUUCAAUAAUUGUACAAUUAUUUGUUUCGAUGACGGAAAAUUCGGGAAAUUCAAUCCGUUGCCGUGGUUCUGGUGGGAAGACCUUCGAAAGGACACGAGGAAUCGGCCGGGUUUAUUCAGUCAUUGUAGAAUUCAACAAGCGCCAGAAGCGCUACUAAGCUAAGCUGGUGCCGGAAGCUAAGGUGACGUCCAGUCCUUGCAGGAAGACAAGGAAGAUUGAGGCAAUACGUUAGAUAUCUUGUGCAAAAAGCUAUCAGCUCGACCUCGACAGAAUCCGACAUGCAGCAAAAGUAUAACGCCUUAAGUAAUCCCCCCGUGUGGCCCUUUGUAACACAUCGAUACUCGUUCGACCGUGUAUGCGAAAGUGUGGGAUAUGGUGUCCCACAGCCAGCUGCAGGAGCUAAGCGGUCAUGUAAGCGCUAUUAAUUGGUCUCGGAGAUUCGUCGGCUUCCCGGUAGGAGGAACUGCUACAAAAGCAAAUGUAGGUACUUCCGUCAACCAUCGUUUGCCAGCAACCCUAUCUGGAGGAUCCUUGCCGAUUUGAUGUCAAUGCCUUGUGAUGAUAAAUUCAUAUAUCUAAAUAAAAAUACUUAGGUGGGUGGGGCGUUUCUGUGGUCUCUAGAAUCCAUCCGAAAAUUCUCCAGGAUUCUGCACGAGACAACCAAUACAUCCAAGUUCUUUGCUGGCAUUGUUCCAAAGAGAGGUCCAAGACGAUUUAAGGUUCACCACGUCUUUCUAAAUUGCAUGGUGAUGCAAAACUACAAGUUGAUGUUA